rnacentral:rRNA from 1 species
UUGACCUCAGAUCAGACAAGUGCA